CAUUAUCAAUCAACCAAUUAAAGGACGUGAAGCCGCUACAGACGGUAAAGAGAGCCUGGUUCAGAGGAUUGAUUAAAACGAUUCGAGGAGCCGAGUGGCGGAGGCUGUGGGUGAGGGCGGCUCGGAGAGCGCAGCACCAAGGAGGAGCUUCGUGGGAAAGGCAGCGCUCGGUUAAGCUGCACUUCUUUCUGUAAACCGAAUGGCUACCAGGUGACGCGAGGGGACUUCUCAAAUAUGAAUCAAAGCAACACUUCAGUUAACCCGGCUUCCUCCAUCUGACCGCUGUCCCCUCGGUGAAGAAAGAGAGCAAGAGAGAGAGAGAGAGAGAAAAAGUGUGCAUGCUCACACAUCUUGAACAGAAUGAAGGGAAAAAAAAAAAAAGCUACAGUCUCACGUAUUGGGCCCCCGUCUCGGCUGGAAGAAUGCCGCUUCGCUUGAGAGGAAUAGGAUUACAAUUUGGACCAGUCCUGGGGCGGCGAGGAAGUUUGCCCUGCCUUUCAGCUUCAUUCUGUGCUCUAUGAAAGGAACACAAGAAAGGCACAAAUCCAGAGAACGGGGCUUUCUGAGGCCUAACGGAGGAUAGAAGAAGGGCGUUCUGCUGCUGAAAGAGGGAUUACCUUCAAACAACUGUGAGAUCUGGGAAAACACAGAAACAUACCACCUCUAACGCCUCGCCACAGCUGACAGCCUGAACCAAAAUCCCCAAGUUUGCUCCACUCAGCCGGACCGAUAAAGCUGCUGCCGUCCACCGAGUGCCUCGAUGAACAACAGGGACGACUGACCCCGGCAUGACCCUCAGUAAGUGGAGCCAGACUGCAGCAAGUAUUGCUAGCUUCCUCAGACAAUGACCUACAAACAGACAUUCAAACAGACUUGCAGCUGUGCUGAGGUCGCGUGGGAGGCACGCCGACAAUGAGCGAGCGACGGGGCAGGCCGUGUGCGUUCUGUACGUCCGCCAUGACUCAAGCUGACCUCCAGCUCUGGCUAAGGACUUGGAGAAUGAGGAUCCAGGAGAUGAAAGACGCGGCGGAUGUAAAACCCGGGGCUUUUGGACAUUCUGAACAAGAUUAUGUUUGCCCUUCUCUCCGUGCCCUCCUCUCUGCACCGUACUUCAAAUGCUCCUGCAGGAGACUGUGGAAUGUGCUUCACUUGUUAACUUUACUGCCGCUACUCCUUCAGAAAGGUCAAAAACUCAGAGAAGGGGCGGCGGCGGCGCAGCCUGCUUGUGAAUGAACUGGGACGACACUGGAAGAUUUUGACAUUUUCAUACCGGGUCACAGGCAUCCAGGCGAAUGAGGGAGCCGAACGCCGUGGUUUGGUGUCAGGCCCGUCGAAUCCAGGAGCAAGGAUUUCCUCACACACUCACAGGUCACACAGGGAGGAGGAAAUAUUAGUGGCUCUGCACAACAGACCACAACGCUUCAGGGCCACCAGUCGCUGUUUUGUCGUUGGUUCUUUCACUGUGAUGUGAAGCACUAACCGACUAACUAACACCACUGACCACAGAUCUGUAUUUAAAACAAUCCAUGGUAAAGAUCUAAUGUGUUAUAGUUAUAUAUUUGUAACAAUUUAGCUCGACUUAAAAACAAAUAUUAUUCCAUCCACAGAAAUCUUCAGGUUUUUCUUUUUCUUUUUAACCAUGCUUCCAUUUUUCAAAUCAUCAUAAAAAAUGGAAUAUUAUGCAGGGAGAAUUCAUUUAAAUUUUAUUCUAUCAAAUACAGAACUGUAAUAGAUGCUGUGAUGAAAACAAAGCAUCCAUUUAGUGUGAAGGUUUUAACCUGAGUGCAAAACAUGAAAAGCAGUUUUAAAACAAGGAUUUAUUCCAUUAAGGGAAAAAGGUUGCACAUUCCAACCUGGAUGGAUAUGUAAAACGUUUUUACAUAUCACCACCAACAUUGUAUCACUUCUAAUAACUGGUAGUGACUCUGAAACAGCCAUCAUGCAUUUGCAAUAAGAGUCUUUUAGGGCAACAUUUGUUCCAUUUUCAGCUGAUGUGAUUCUCUUUCAUGCUGCACUGUGAAACUAACCUGCCUGUUCAACCCCUCGCCUGAGGUGGUGCUGCAACAGGAACCACAGAGGAAAUUGACACAAAAACCUCAGAGGAAGACACUGAGUACGUCCUCCAUCUUCACAAAAUGUAAACACAAAAGCAGCUGUGUGAGUUUUUAGCAUUUCUCUUUUGUCUGUGGUAAAAAACCACGAGUCAUUUGUCCCACUAGCGCUGGACUAGUGUGUUUGUUUUGGUUGUUUUGGUUGCAUUUACCCAGAAUGCCCUGUGCUGUAGUCCACUUCCUGCUGGUGGAGCAGUCUCCACUCGGUUUGACGCUCACGUAUGCAUUCAAAAAGCACCAGAGCUCAUUUUAACUGAACUGAUACCUGGGUCUGUAGGUGGACCAGAGUUCGAUUCAUUCACACCUUCCAAAGCAAACAGAGUUCCAUUAAAGCGGAUUAAACAGGGCUGCUGUGAAUGAGCCCUUCCACCAGUUAGAAGGGAUGUUAAAAAACUCUUCCUUGCAGAAUUGUUUUAAUUCCAUAACCUAUCAAUAGAAUUUACAUCCAGACUUUGACUAUGCCACUCCAAUUUCCUGUU